UACAGAGGUCUCGAGCGUUGUUCGGAUUCAUUGGGCGUAAAGGGCGCGUAGGCGGCGGGGUAAGUCUGGUGUGAAAUCUCGGAGCUCAACUCCGAAAUUGCACUGGAUACUGCUCUGCUAGAGGGCUGGAGAGGAGAUCGGAAUUCACGGUGUAGCAGUGAAAUGCGUAGAUAUCGUGAGGAAGACCAGUGGCGAAGGCGGAUCUCUGGACAGCUCCUGACGCUGAGGUGCGAAGGCUAGGGGAGCAAACGGG
rnacentral:rRNA from 1 species